AUUGAACGCUGGCGGCAGGCCUAACACAUGCAAGUCGAACGAGUGGCGGACGGGUGAGUAAUGCUUGGGAAACUGCCUGAUGGAGGGGGAUAACUACUGGAAACGGUCGCUAAUACCGCAUACCAUAAGAUGUGCCCAGAUGGGAUUAGGUUGUUGGUGGGGUAACGGCUCACCAAGCCGACGAUCCCUAGCUGGUCUGAGAGGAUGACCAGCCACACUGGCACUGAGACACGGUCCGGACUCCUACGGGAGGCAGCAGUGGGGAAUAUUGCGCAAUGGGCGCAAGCCUGACGCAGCCAUGCCGCGUGAAUGAAGAAGGCCUUCGGGUUGUAAAGUACUUUCGGCGAGGAGGCGUUACCCACAGAAGAAGCACCGGCUAACUCCGUGCCAGCCGCCGCGGUAAUAC
rnacentral:rRNA from 1 species